AAUGGGCUCAUUCGGGGAGGCGUUUAUUUCCACUCUGCAUCAGAGCCUUCAUGUGGAAGGUGACAUCGAAACAGAAAAGGACAUCAGGAAGGCAGAAAGUCAUUUCAGGUGGCAAGGGAAUAACAUGAGUGAAGGCAGGGAAGAGGGAAAGUGGCUCAGCUGAGGCAGCUCAGAGGGAAAGUGGCUCAGCUGAGGCAGGUCAGAGAACGCAGAGACUAAGAGUAUAGCGUCUGGGGACCCACGGCCUGGGCGCAGAAACUUGGCUUUACCUCUUGUGAGCAAGUAAGUUCAUCUCUCUUGGUUUGUUUCUGCAUCUGUAAAAUGGAGCUCCGAAUGGUAGCCAUCUCACGGGGUCUUUGUGAGGAUUAAAUGAGGUGAUCUACGCAGACCCUUAGCGCAGUGUCUGGCUCACAGCAGGCCCCAGGGCAGGAUCUGGGGACAGGGUGAUACAGAGGGUGUGACCUGGGAAUGGUCUUAACUUGCAAACAACAGAGUCUCCAAGUAAUGGCUGAAUUUAGUGGCUGAAAUAGAAAAUAAUUUCCCUUUCAGUUAAGAAUCUGGAGGUAGGCAAUCCAGAGCUGUUAUGGUGGCUCCAUUCCACCAAGUCCUCAGGGCCCAGUUCCUUCUCGCUUCUGCUUCGUCAUCCCUGUGGUGUGGCCCUUGUCGUCAUAGUCCAGGAUGGCACCUCGGUCGUGACAUUCGUGUCCCAGUCGGCAGGAUGAGGCGUGCAUCCACUGUCUCUUUAGGUUCCCAGAAGCUGCCUCCGGACAUUUGCACCGGCAUCCUAUUCACUUGAAUUUGGUCACUUGGCCACACCUAGCUGCAGGGAAACAUAAUCUUUUUUUCUGGGUGGCCCUCUUUCCAGCUAAACUUUCUUUUAGUAACAGAAGAAGGGGGAAACAGACGUUGGAGGAAGCUAACAGUCUCUUACCAAGAGAGAUAAGACGGAAGCCAGAUUACAGAGGUCUUCAAGGCGGUCCACGGAAUUGGUACCUUGCUGCUCGGCUCUGUGGAGCAGUUGAUAGUCUCAGUGUAGGGAGUUCAUACGACUGGAGGCUGUUCGUGGUGAUGGGCUCUGCCGUGGUUCCUCAAACCAGCAAUACUCGCGUACUUUCAAGAGCAGCUACUUUCAAUUAAAACAAAAAUGCCCCCCUCCCAUCUUCCAACAUCCUUUGCCACUCUCCCUCCUCUUUACAGAAGGGAAGAGGCAGCUGAGGGGAGGCAGUGUGCGAAGGCAGCCCUUCCACCUGGCGGCUCUCCCUUGGACCUCCUCCAGUGGCCCCCUGGCCCUCUCGAAAUGUGCCGAGAAGAGAAAUCAUCCCCUCGGAGAGGAAGACCAGCCCUGAGCUAACAUCUGCUGCCAAUCCUCCUCUUUUUGCUGAGGACGACUGGCCCUGAGCUAACAUCCAUGCCCAUCUUCCUCUGCUUUAUAUGUGGGACGCCUGCCACAGCAUGGCUUGCCAAGCGGUGCCAUGUCCACACCUGGGAUCCGAACCGGUGAACCCUGGGCUGCUGAAGCGGAACGUGUGAACUUAACUGCUGCACCACCGGGCUGGCUGCGAGCAGCACUAUUCUUAAGAGACAAGAGGUGGAAGCAGCCCAGAUGUCCAUCCAUGGACGAGAAGAUAAACAAUGUGGUCUACACAUACCAUGGAACACUAGUCAGCCUUUAAAAAGAAGGAAAUCCUGUCGCAUGCUACAAAAUGGAUGAAUGUAAGGACAUUAUGUUAAGUGAAAUAAGCCCAUCACACAAAGACAAAUACUGUAUGAUUUCACUU
ensembl:lncRNA